GUGUAAUAAUUUUUUAACCAAGAAACAUUAAUUAAUACAACUUAGUAGUUCAUAAACACCGUAUGCAGUAACAUUACCACAAAGCACAUGGUAAAUAAAAUGUCCAACCUUCCUUUUGCUUAAAAUCAACAAAUACUAAUAAAAUAUUUUGUAAAUGGUAAAUAAGAUGUCCAAGUUCAGUUGUUUAUAGCUUGUACAUGUAUUGCAAUUGGUAAAUAAAAUUUGAUGAUCUAUUUAUCAAACGGCAAAAGAAUAAUCAGACCGCUACUUAAGUAAAAGCGAAAAAGAAUUCAUUCAUUCAAAAAAAUAUUAGGAAUUGAUCGCCAACUGAAAACAACAUAAUCCAACUUCUUUCAGAAACAAAUUACCACACAACUCUCAAUUUAUAUAAUUGACUUAUUUUAGGUAACAACAAAGGUUCCAAAUGAACAUAAAUCACAAUUACAAUUAAAACAAUAAUCAAAUUUCUUGAAACAUCUGAUUUAAUCAGCAUCAUUAGCACUAUUAGUCCACCUUCCUGCAAUUUACCCGAGUCUGACCAUAUUUCCCUAUCAAUGACUUGAUAUUACCCAUCUUAAUCAUAGAUGUAGCAAAAUCUUUAGAGAAACUCCUUAAGUUUUUACUAAUGUUUUAACAAGAUCAUCAGUUUUUCCACCACUAAAUAGUACCAAACCUGAAGCACCCAAUAUGGAUCUAAUCAAAAGCAAAAUCUAACAAAAUAGUGUUUUAGUGAACAAAGACUUUUCAACUAAUUCUUUAUCAAGAUGUUCUCUUAAAGGGCAACUCUAAAAUAAAUUCAGAGAAUCAACAAGAAAGUUCUACUUAAUGUUAAAUGAAUGAAUUCGUAAAGAAAUAAAUUAUCUAACCAAACAAUUUAUACUCCAAACUUGACUUAUCCUUAAACGACUCAUUUUGAAGCUCGAUUCACAAUUAAUUAGAUAAAAUAGAAAGGGACACAAAUAGACUUGUUAAGCAAAAUGUUCUUUAACAACAAUUGAAAAAUCAGCAACUACAUUUAAUAGAAAGGGACACAAAUAGACUUGUUAAGCAAAAUGUUCUUUAACAGCAAUUGAAAAAUCAGCAACUACACAGAUUUUGACUCCAAAAUUCAAGUAUGGAAAAAAUGACUAAUUGAACUCGGAACCGUGAACGUCAUCCUCGAACAGUCACAUCCGAACCAGCAAAACACCAACCAAACUCAAGCAAGAUCCGUGAAUGAAGAUCAACAGGGCAGAAACUAAUAUAUA
rnacentral:lncRNA from 1 species